rnacentral:misc_RNA from 1 species
GAUGAAGAACGCAGCGAAAUGCGAUAAGUAAUGUGAAUUGCAGAAUUCAGUGAAUCAUCGAAUCUUUGAACGCACAUUGCGCCCGCCAGUAUUCUGGCGGGCAUGCCUGUUCGAGCGUCAUUUCAACCCUCAAGCCCCAGCGGUUUGGUGUUGGGGACCGGCGAGUACAGAGGCUUUGGGGACUUGUCCCCCUUCCCUUGGCGCCGCCCCCGAAAUGAAUUGGCGGUCUCGUCGCGGCCUCCUCUGCGUAGUAGCACAACCUCGCAUCAGGAGCGCGGCGCGGCCACUGCCGUAGAACGCCCAACUUUUUUUAAGAGUUGACCUCGAAUCAGGUAGGAAUACCCGCUGAACUUAAGCAUAUCAAUAAGCGGAGGA